rnacentral:rRNA from 1 species
GAUGAACGCUAGCGGCGUGCUUAACACAUGCAAGUCGAACGAUUAGCCCGCCCUCGGGCGGUUAUAGAGUGGCGAACGGGUGAGUAACACGUGACCAACCUGCCCCUUGCUCCGGGAUAACCCAGGGAAACCUCGGCUAAUACCGGAUACUCCGCCAGGCCCGCAUGGGCCGGGCGGGAAAGCCCAGACGGCGAGGGAUGGGGUCGCGGCCCAUUAGGUAGACGGCGGGGUAACGGCCCACCGUGCCCGCGAUGGGUAGCCGGGUUGAGAGACCGAUCGGCCACAUUGGAACUGAGAUACGGCCCAGACUCCUACGGGAGGCAGCAGUGGGGAAUUUUGCGCAAUGGGGGAAACCCUGACGCAGCAGCGCCGCGUGCGGGACGAAGGCCUUCGGGUUGUAAACCGCUUUCAGCAGGGAAUAUCGUGAAGGUACCUGCAGAAGAAGCUCCGGCUAACUACGUGCCAGCCGCCACAGUAA